rnacentral:rRNA from 1 species
CGGACGGGUGAGUAAUGUCUGGGAAACUGCCCGAUGGAGGGGGAUAACUACUGGAAACGGUAGCUAAUACCGCAUAACGUCGCAAGACCAAAGAGGGGACCUUCGGGCCUCUUGCCAUCGGAUGUGCCCAGAUGGGAUUGGCUAGUAGGUGGGGUAACGGCUCACCUAGGCGACGAUCCCUAGCUGGUCUGAGAGGAUGACCAGCCACACUGGAACUGAGACACGGUCCAG